AUGGGCGGUGUUAUUGCUAAACGGUUAAGUUUGAACCGUACAAAGGGCCCCAUCUUUGGAGGUAUUUAUGCUUCACGCCUUGCUGCACAUUUUAACAUACCUAUUAGGCUCUAUGAGAAAGAAGAAAAAUUGCUGCCCAAUGCUUAUUUAGAUUAUAAGAGUAUGGUAGCGCAUGAUUUCAUCGUUAAGAAUAGGGAAGGGGAGCUUAAAUACGAAUUGUUCUUUGAUAAACAUCACCUUGAGACUAUUACCUUGCCUGCUCCUUCCUUGUUUAAUUUAUCUGAAGGUCCGUAUCUCGUUCCGUGGGCGGACAUUCAAGCCCACCGGAACCCUACACCAGCCCCGGAGCCGGAACCACAAUUUGAGCCUCCACGACAGUCUGAUUACUUUUGGGAUCCGGAGAUGACUGCCAGCCAGUGGCAGUCAGAGUCCUCUUCAUCUCAGUACGACCCCAGCUACAACUAUGGAUAUCCGCCAGGCCAUCCUUGGCAAUAA
rnacentral:rRNA from 1 species